UACGAAGGGGGCUAGCGUUGCUCGGAAUCACUGGGCGUAAAGCGCACGUAGGCGGAUUGCUAAGUCAGGGGUGAAAUCCUGGAGCUCAACUCCAGAACUGCCUUUGAUACUGGCGACCUUGAGUCCGGGAGAGGUGAGUGGAACUGCGAGUGUAGAGGUGAAAUUCGUAGAUAUUCGCAAGAACACCGGUGGCGAAGGCGGGUCUCUGGGCCGAAACUGACGCUGAGGAGCGAAAGCGUGGGGAGCAAACAGG
rnacentral:rRNA from 1 species